GCGCAAGCCAGAGCCGUGGCUCGACAUGCAGCCGGCGUCCUGAUCCGUGGAUCAGAUCCGCUGCUUUCCGGUAACGGCGGUAGGGGCUGCAGUAAAUGAGCGUGGUGGGUCGUUCGGGGCAGCUGUCUCCUACCUCCAGACCCAGGUUCAUCCAUUGUUGGGACUUGGGAGCGGCGACCCGGCGACAAGGCGACUGGGUGCUGAGGCAAGCAUGGAGUUCUUGAUGCAGCCGAUAAAUAGAUAUGAUUUUCCCAACUCUGGAAGCAGCAGAACUCUCUGCUAGAAGAGGUGAACGGAAACAACAUCACAAUGGAUCCUCUUCAUUACCCUGUGAGGACGCCGCCGGUGAUAGAGCUGCCGGCCAGGACCGCGUCCAGUGCUGACGGCCAGAUUUGUGUUGUAAACGCUGUUCCAGGUGCAGGCAGUGCUGACAGAUCACAAACUUCAGAGCCCUCCAUCGAGCAGGGUGCUAGUUGGGGCUGCUGUGCUUGGCAGACCCCCGUGUGCUGAUAGGGUUUCAGCACUAGAGAAUUCUGUCCGGCGAUUAGCCCAAGAACAUAGUGACAUUAUCAUUGUGCCUAAGAUAGGAGCAAGUUUUGACACACUGGGUGAGGCUUAUGAUUUCUACAACUUAUAUUCGUGGGAGAAAGGGUUCGACAUCAGAUAUGGAAAGAGCAGGCUGAAUGUAAACUGAAGAAAAUGCAUGGGAAAUCAAUAGUUGAAAAUACACGCUCUUUGUCGGUGUGAAUGCCCUGGCUUGAUAAGAUUGUUGCGUUCAAAGGACAAUGGGUGGUACAUUGCGGAGCAUCGAGAUGAACACAAUCAUUCAUUAUCUCUGACCUAUGGACAGACAAUACACUGGCCAUUGCCCAAGCAUAUCGACGUGUGCAACAGAUAUCUUGUGCAGCAAUUGCGGCAGAACAACGACAAUCUCGCGAUGGUCUACAGUAUAAUUGGGAGCUUCUUUGGUAGGAUGAAGAAUGUACCUUUCACGAAAAGAGCACUGUGUAAUCUGUGUGGUAACAUUAGUCAAUGAUGUCAGAAAAACAAUGGAGGUGUUUUAGGAGCUUUGCUCAAAGGAUCCACAAUUCACCUACCGAGUUCAGGCUGACAAAGAAGGAAGGAUCGGGACUCUAAUGGGCUACUGGAAACAGCAGAUUGCAUUAUUUCUUUUUUGGAGAUGUUGUGAGAUUUGAUACGACAUACAGGACCAAUAAGUACGACAUGCAAUUUGGUCUAUUCUUUAGUGUUAACAAUCGUUUCCAGAGCAUUAUACUAGCUAGGGUGCUCGUUCGUGACGAGAAGGUUGAAACAUUUCAGUGGGUUUUUGCAGAACUCAUUACGAUAAUGGGUGGGACUGCACCGCAAACCAUCCUUACAGAUCAAAAUCGGUCGAUGGAAGCAGCGAUACAAAAUGUGAUGCCGGACACAACUCACCAGUGCUGGGAGUGGAGGACGAGGAGAUGGAGAGGCCUACCACAAGUAGGGAGAAGGCAGUUUACUAAGGUUGUGUAAACGAACCAGAUUCUGCAGCAUUUGUUGGUGACAAGGGCACAAGCCAACAAUUUGUCCUGAUCGCGGCGAUGUACCAAAACAACCUCGGAAGCCGGCGAGUUGUAAGAAUUGUGGCGUUGAAGGUCACCAUCGGAACAAUUGUCAUAAGGCGGCUGAGCUGAGACUGAAGUAAGUAUGUGCACUUACAGAGAAGGCGAAGUCAUGAAUUUGUGGUCUAUUUGUAUAAUUAGAAUUUGUAGCCUGUAUGUUGGUCGUCUUUGUAUAAAAUAAUUUGCUUCAGAUCAUGCUUCCCUGGGACAGAUUAUAGGCUUCAAUGGAAGUUCUGUCAGAGUUGUUGAAGUUUCUUUUAUUUCUGAAUUAGAUAUGUUUACUGUUA